UACGUAGGAGGCAAGCGUUGUCCGGAAUUACUGGGCGUAAAGCGCGUGUAGGUGGUGGGACAAGUCUGCUGUGAAAGCGCCUGGCUUAACCGGGCGAGGUCGGCGGAAACUGUUCGACUCGAGGACGGUAGAGGGGGGUGGAAUUCCCGGUGUAGUGGUGAAAUGCGUAGAGAUCGGGAGGAACACCUGUGGCGAAGGCGGCCCCUGG
rnacentral:rRNA from 1 species